UUAUAGGGGAGAUGCUGCCCAAAUUUUUGUAGACAAGUAUUGGUUAAGAUUGAAAUCUUAAAGCCUUACAAUUAACAUUUGGUAAUUGUGACCAAAUUGUAGAUUUUGGCGAACUUGAAACUUGAUUUUGGAGACGUGUAUGAAGCGGAAAAGGUCAGCAGACAGGUGGACGUGAUCCUUAGAAGCUCUACCAGCCGCACUUGACAGCGCUCCAGUUGUUCCGGAGCCUCACUCCAGCGGUACUAUUUUAUGCAUAUACAUUCGGGCUUGGUAGCACCCCGGCCCUUUCUAUGUAUAAGUGUACUAUGUCUAGAGGCUCGUAGACAGAUACGUACAGUCAGUCAGGUACAGAUAUAUGUAUAGUGUUUUGGCAUGUUAAUAUUGUUGUACAAGGUAAUAA